AAAGUUUUCGGUCUGGGAUGGACUCGCGGCCUAUCAGCUAGUUGGUGAGGUAAUGGCUCACCAAGGCGACGACGGGUAGCCGGCCUGAGAGGGCGACCGGCCACACUGGGACUGAGACACGGCCCAGACUCCUACGGGAGGCAGCAGUGGGGAAUAUUGCACAAUGGGCGAAAGCCAGAUGCAGCGACGCCGCGUGAGGGAUGACGGCCUUCGGGUUGUAAACCUCUUUCAGCAGGGAAGAAGCGAAAGUGACGGUACCUGCAGAAGAAGCACCGGCUAACUACGUGCCAGCAGCCGCGGUAAUACGUAGGGUGCGAGCGUUGUCCGGAAUUAUUGGGCGUAAAGAGCUUGUAGGCGGUUUGUCGCGUCUGCAGUGAAAAUCCGAGGCUCAACCUCGGACUUGCUGUGGGUACGGGCAGACUAGAGUAUGGUAGGGGAGACCGGAAUUCCUGGUGUAGCGGUGGAAUGCGCAGAUAUCAGGAGGAACACCGAUGGCGAAGGCAGGUCUCUGGGCCAUAACUGACGCUGAGAAACGAAAGCAUGGGGAGCGAACAGGAUUAGAUACCCUGGUAGUCCAUGCCGUAAACGUUGGGCGCUAGGUGUGGGGCUCAUUCCACGAGCUCCGUGCCGCAGCUAACGCAUUAAGCGCCCCGCCUGGGGAGUACGGCCGCAAGGCUAAAACUCAAAGGAAUUGACGGGGGCCCGCACAAGCGGCGGAGCAUGCGGAUUAAUUCGAUGCAACGCGAAGAACCUUACCAAGGCUUGACAUAUACCGGAAACAUCCAGAGAUGGGUGCCCCGCAAGGUCGGUAUACAGGUGGUGCAUGGUUGUCGUCAGCUCGUGUCGUGAGAUGUUGGGUUAAGUCCCGCAACGAGCGCAACCCUCGUUCUAUGUUGCCAGCGCGUAAUGGCGGGGACUCAUAGGAGACUGCCGGGGUCAACUCGGAGGAAGGUGGGGAUGACGUCAAAUCAUCAUGCCCCUUAUGUCUUGGGCUUCACGCAUGCUACAAUGGCCGGUACAAAGGGCUGCGAUACCGCGAGGUGGAGCGAAUCCCAAAAAACCGGUCUCAGUUCGGAUUGGGGUCUGCAACUCGACCCCAUGAAGUCGGAGUCGCUUAAUCGCAGAUCAGCAACGCUGCGGUGAAUACGUUCCCGGGCCUUGUACACACCGCCCGUCAAGUCACGAAAGUCGGUAACACCCGAAGCCGGUGGCCCAACCCUUGUGGAGGGAGCCGUCGAAGGUGGGACUGGCGAUUGGGACUAAGUCGUAACAAGGUAGCCGUACCGGAGGGUGCGGCUG
rnacentral:rRNA from 1 species